rnacentral:rRNA from 1 species
CGAUCGAUUUAGCAUGCUAGUCGCACGAGUUCAGACUCGUGGCGAAUAGCUCAGUAACACGUGGCCAAACUACCCUUCGGACUACAAUACCCUCGGGAAACUGAGGCUAAUAGUAGAUACCACAGUCCACCUGGAAUGAGGACUGUGCUAAAUGCUCCGGCGCCGAAGGAUGUGGCUGCGGCCGAUUAGGUAGACGGUGGGGUAACGGCCCACCGUGCCAAUAAUCGGUACGGGUCAUGAGAGUGAGAACCCGGAGACGGAAUCUGAGACAAGAUUCCGGGCCCUACGGGGCGCAGCAGGCGCGAAACCUUUACACUGCACGACAGUGCGAUAAGGGAAUCCCAAGUGCGUUGGCAUAGAGCCUACGCUUUUGUCCACCGUAGGGAGGUGGACGAAUAAGGGCUGGGCAAGACCGGUGCCAGCCGCCGCGGUAAUACCGGCAGCCCGAGUGAUGGCCGAUCUUAUUGGGCCUAAAGCGUCCGUAGCUGGCCGCACAAGUCCAUUGGAAAAUCCACCCGCUCAACGGGUGGGCGUCCGGUGGAAACUGUGUGGCUUGGGACCGGAAGGCGGGACGGGUACGUCCGGGGUAGGAGUGAAAUCCUGUAAUCCUGGACGGACCGCCGAUGGCGAAAGCACGUCGCGAGAACGGAUCCGACAGUGAGGGACGAAAGCUAGGGUCUCGAACCGGAUUAGAUACCCGGGUAGUCCUAGCCGUAAACAAUGCCUGCUAGGUGUGGCUCCCACUACGAGUGGGGUGCUGUGCCGUAGGGAAGCCGCUAAGCAGGCCGCCUGGGAAGUACGUCCGCAGGGAUGAAACUUAAAGGAUUUGGCGGGGGAGCACUACCACCGGAGGAGCCUGCGGUUUAUUUGGACUCACGCCGGACUCCUCACACCUCGACUGUAAUAAUGACGAUCAGGUUGAUGACCUUUUCCGAG